UACGAAGGGGGCUAGCGUUGCUCGGAAUCACUGGGCGUAAAGGGUGCGUAGGCGGGUCUUUAAGUCAGGGGUGAAAUCCUGGAGCUCAACUCCAGAACUGCCUUUGAUACUGGCGAUCUCGAGUCCGGGAGAGGUGAGUAGAACUCCGAGUGUAGAGGUGAAAUUCGUAGAUAUUCGGAAGAACACCAGUGGCGAAGGCGGCUCACUGGCCCGGUACUGACGCUGAGGUGCGAAAGCGUGGGGAGCAAACAGG
rnacentral:rRNA from 1 species